rnacentral:rRNA from 1 species
AGUGAACGCUGGCGGUAGGCCUAACACAUGCAAGUCGAACGGCAGCACAGUAAGAGCUUGCUCUUACGGGUGGCGAGUGGCGGACGGGUGAGGAAUACAUCGGAAUCUACUUUUUCGUGGGGGAUAACGUAGGGAAACUUACGCUAAUACCGCAUACGACCUACGGGUGAAAGCAGGGGAUCUUCGGACCUUGCGCGAUUGAAUGAGCCGAUGUCGGAUUAGCUAGUUGGCGGGGUAAAGGCCCACCAAGGCGACGAUCCGUAGCUGGUCGGAGAGGAUGAGCAGCCACACUGGAACUGAGACACGGUCCAGACUCCUACGGGAGGCAGCAGUGGGGAAUAUUGGACAAUGGGCGCAAGCCUGAUCCAGCCAUACCGCGUGGGUGAAGAAGGCCUUCGGGUUGUAAAGCCCUUUUGUUGGGAAAGAAAAGCAGCAGGUUAAUACCCCGCUGUUCUGACGGUACCCAAAGAAUAAGCACCGGCUAACUUCGUG